rnacentral:rRNA from 1 species
UACGAAGGGUGCGAGCGUUAUUCGGAAUGACUGGGUGUAAAGAGCGUGUUGGCGGUUUUGUAAGUCAGCUGUUAAAGCGCCCGGCUUAACUGGGUACCUGCAGAUGAAACUACAAGGCUAGAGUACGGGAGAGAAAGGUAGAAUUCUCGGAGUAGCGGUAAAAUGCGUAGAUCUCGAGAGGAAUACCGGUUGCGAAGGCGGCCUUUUGGCCCGAUACUGACGCUUAAGCGCGAAAGCGUGGGGAGCAAACAGG